UACGGAGGGUGCAAGCGUUAUUCGGAAUUACUGGGCGUAAAGCGCACGUAGGUGGUUUAGUAAGUCUGAUGUGAAAGCCCUGGACUCAAUCCAGGAAGUGCAUUGGAUACUGCUAGACUAGAGUACAGGAGGGGUAAGCGGAAUUCCAGGUGUAGAGGUGAAAUUCGUAGAUAUCUGGAGGAACAACGGAGGCGAAGGCGGCUUACUGGACUGUAACUGACACUGAGGUGCGAAAGCGUGGGUAGCAAAC
rnacentral:rRNA from 1 species